AAUAAGAUGCCUGAAAAUAUUAAAGGACUAUUUUGAUAGAAUAGAAGAUGUAAAUUUAUUACUCUUAUUA
rnacentral:tRNA from 1 species